rnacentral:rRNA from 1 species
AACGAACGCUGGCGGCGUGGAUAAGACAUGCAAGUCGAACGGGACAGACCGAGUAGCAAUAUUUGGAAUGUUCAGUGGCGAACGGGUGCGUAACACGUGGAUAACAUUCCGGAAAGCGGGGAAUAGCCCAGGGAAACUUGGAUUAAUACCGCAUGUGGCCGCAAGGCUAAAGACGGGGACCGCAAGGCCUGUCACUUUCCGAUUGGUCCGUGGCCUAUCAGCUAGUUGGCGGGGUAAUGGCCCACCAAGGCUACGACGGGUAGCUGGUCUUAGAGGACGACCAGCCACACUGGAACUGAGACACGGACCAGACACCUACGGGUGGCAGCAGUCGAGAAUCUUUCACAAUGGGGGCAACCCUGAUGGAGCGACGCCGCGUGGAGGAUAAGGCCUUCGGAUUGUAAACUCCUGUCAUGCGAGAACAAGGUACUCAGGCUAAUAACUUGAUUGUUUGAUGGUACCGCAAGAGGAAGAGACGGCUAACUCUGUGCCAGCAGCCGCAGUAACAC